rnacentral:rRNA from 1 species
GAUUUCUGGUAUGGCGCACUUGGCCCGCCUCGGUUACGGGGUAGUGUGCCGGUGUGCGCCUGCCAUCCUUCUGGAACACGAUUCUUGCCCUUCACUGGGUAGGAACCGGGGUCCAGAUCAUUUACUUUGAAAAAAUUAGAGUGUUUAAAGCAGGCUUACGCUAUGAAUACAUUAGCAUGGAAUAAUAAUUUAGGACUUUGGUCUUAUUUUAUUGGUUUCUAGGACUAAAGUAAUGAUUGAUAGGGAUAGUUGGGGGUGCUAGUAUUCAGCGGCCAGAGGUGAAAUUCUUGGAUUCGCUGAAGACUAACUUAUGCGAAAGCAUU